rnacentral:snRNA from 1 species
GCCCCUUUGGGGACAUCCGAUAAAAUUGGAACGAAAUAGGGAAGAUCAGCACGAUUCCUGCACAAUAAAAAAUGUAGCAACUUUCACUUCUAGU